GUUUCCUCUGCCACAGAGCUCAAUCAAGACGACAUUCAAUUGGGUAAACUUGGAGAAGAAGGCGGGGCUAAAACUGGCGAAGGCGUGGCUUCUUGGCUGCUUGACGAAGUGUCGUGAAUAAAAGAAAGGAGACCGCAGAAGUAAAGAAGUGGGGAGUUUAGGUGUCUGCUUUUGGGGCAGAGUUUUCAUCGGAGGCAUGCAGAGAGUUAGGCUUUUCUAGCAACUUGCUUUGCAGCUCUUGUGAUCUUCUCGGACAGUUCAACCUGCUUCAGCUGGAUCCUGAUUGCAGAGGAUGCUGUCAGGAGGAAGCACAAUUUGAAACCAAAAAGCUGUAUGCAGGAGCUAUUCUUGAAGUUUGUGGAUGAAAAUUGGGAAGGUUCCCUCAAGUCCAAGCUUUUGUUAGGAGUGAUAAACCCAAACUGUUCAGAGGACUGCAAAUCAAGUAUGUCCGUGGUUCAGACCCUGUAUUAAAGCUUUUGGACGACAAUGGGAACAUUGCUGAAGAACUGAGCAUUCUCAAAUGGAACACAGACAGUGUAGAAGAAUUCCUGAGUGAAAAGUUGGAACGCAUAUAAAUCUUGCUUAAAUUUUGUCCUAUCCUUUUGUUACCUUAUCAAAUGAAAUAUUACAGCACCUAGAAAAUAAUUUAGUUUUGCUUGCUUCCAUUGAUCAGUCUUUUACUUGAGGCAUUAAAUAUCUAAUUAAAUCGUGAAAUGGCAGUAUAGUCCAUGAUAUCUAAGGAGUUGGCAAGCUUAACAAAACCCAUUUUUUAUAAAUGUCCAUCCUCCUGCAUUUGUUGAUACCACUAACAAAAUGCUUUGUAACAGACUUGCGGUUAAUUAUGCAAAUGAUAGUUUGUGAUAAUUGGUCCAGUUUUACGAACAACAGAUUUCUAAAUUAGAGAGGUUAACAAGACAGAUGAUUACUAUGCCUCAUGUGCUGUGUGCUCUUUGAAAGGAAUGACAGCAGACUACAAAGCAAAUAAGAUAUACUGAGCCUCAACAGAUUGCCUGCUCCUCAGAGUCUCUCCUAUUUUUGUAUUACCCAGCUUUCUUUUUAAUACAAAUGUUAUUUAUAGUUUACAAUGAAUGCACUGCAUAAAAACUUUGUAGCUUCAUUAUUGUAAAACAUAUUCAAGAUCCUACAGUAAGAGUGAAACAUUCACAAAGAUUUGCGUUAAUGAAGACUACACAGAAAACCUUUCUAGGGAUUUGUGUGGAUCAGAUACAUACUUGGCAAAUUUUUGAGUUUUACAUUCUUACAGAAAAGUCCAUUUAAAAGUGAUCAUUUGUAAGACCAAAAUAUAAAUAAAAAGUUUCAAAAAUCUAUCUGAAUUUGGAAUUCUUCUGGUUUGUUCUUUCAUGUUUAAAAAUGAUGUUUUUCAAUGCAUUUUUUUCAUGUAAGCCCUUUUUUUAGCCAAAAUGUAAAAAUGGCUGUAAUAUUUAAAACUUAUAACAUCUUAUUGUUGGUAAUAGUGCUUUAUAUUUGUCUGAUUUUAUUUUUCAAAGUUUUUUCAUUUAUGAACACAUUUUCAUUGGUAUAUUAUUUAAGGAAUAUCUCUUGAUAUAGAAUUUUUAUAUUAAAAAUGAUUUUUCUUUGCUUAA